rnacentral:lncRNA from 1 species
AUUCGAUUAAUAAUCGAGAUCUCGUAUCAUUUAUUAUUAUUACUAUAUUCAUACAACUAAAAUCGCACUCGCAUUCUGAUGAAUUGUAUGGAAUCAUUUUUUAAAUAAGAUAUCAAACUUUUUAAAUCUUAUGGGAUACCUCUUCCACCAUUAUUUAGGUAAUCAAUUAAGCUCAAAGGUAUUAUAACAGAUAUAAUGUAUUCUAAGAAAUUGUAUCGGUAUGCAUUUCGAUGGUGGAAAAAGUACCAGAACGACGUUCUGGUGCGUUUCCAUUAUACCACUGCUAGCCGAACGGUUGCUCAAGGCGCCACAUAAAGCUAUUCACUUCUGUAAAAGGUCAACAACGGAAAACUAUACGGGAACUAAAAAGCAAAUGAAUAAAACUUUUCUAGAAAAAUGCAGCUGUAAUAAACAAAAGCAUACCCAUGACGUAAUAGGUAAUUUUCUGCUUCUGCUUUUUUAUUCAUAGUAUCGAUUAACAUACCUUCGCUUCAGCUGUUGAUAGUGCGUGUGUCCAGCGCCUUUAAUACUGUCAAAAAAAUUGAGUACCGUGUAAUGAAAAACAUACCAACCAAAAAUCAUUUUAUUAGUCUUAGACUGAAUUUUAUAUUUGUUCUUAUGGGCAUUUUUUAUGCAACAGGAAUGGCCUUUUAUGUGCUGUGCACGCAGCCUCCCCUAUGCGAUGAAGCAUAAACUUGGCCUUAUAUUAAAAUUUUGGUUGAUUGAAAAUUCUAAAAAAACACUUUCUGGAUAUUGUAUAUUGAAUUUUCGAGCAUAUUAAGUGGAAUUCUGAUAAAACAUUAUCUUCAACAUUAAGUUUCAUGCUGUAACAUUUAGAGUAUUCAGACAUGUAUGUAAUGAGUCAGCGAUCAUUUUGGGCCGAAUUUUAGAGUGUCAAAAUAUUUUUAGGCUCGAAUUUUUGAGUUCAUUUUUCGUAUUUUCACAUAAAGGCAUAUCAAAAAAUCGAAAAAAAUUUUGAGGGAAUAGUAGGAAACUCGAUUUUGUGGAUUACAAUCCACAAAAUCCAAUAUGGGGACACCCCGAAUUGUUAGAUAUUCGUAUAUUUCCAAAAUUGCGAUUUUUUUUCUGAAAAGAUUUUUAUAUUGAAUUGAACGUCUAAAUUUUCUAAAAAAUAUUCACUAGAUGGCAUCUGAGUUUUCAGUGCUUUUAUGUCAUUAUGAGUUCGAAAAAAAAUUAUGCACCUUAGAUCUUCAUAAGAAAGUCUCUUCGAAAUUCGCAAUAAAAAAAUAAAAUAACGGUGAAAAUAAGAAAAUUUUUGAAUAGCAAAACGCGAACGAUUUUCCGCCCGUCUGGUGGCAUUCUUCGACAACGCUAACUCAAGGAGCGCGAACUUUGCUGUACCAUAGAUUAUGCGCUGUACAGUUUUUGUUAUAUAACUACCUACCUGCAAAAAUCAAAAAAUGUGAGAUUGGUCUAAAAAUUCAAAAAAUAAAAAAAAUGAAAAGCCCCAUGAAAUAGAGAUUCUAAUGCUCUUUCCAAUGGCAUAAGAGCAAAAGGAAAAAACUCAACCAAUCGAGUGACUGGCUAUCAAAGUCCGCAGAGGCCAACUAACAGAUUUUUUUUACAUACAAAAAUUCGCUAGUUGAUCCAUAGUCGACUAGAAAUGGCAUCUAAAUGAUUCCGUUCUCAAGUGCCUGAAUGGGCAAAAAGGAAGAAUAAAGCGAAAGAAGCAGGAGUAAAGGUGGAUACUAAGAAUGUGCGCUGUCUGUUCUAUGCUGAUAACAGUGUUCGCCUCUCCGAGAGUGAACACAAUUGCACAAUUGAAUGAAACGUUUCAAAGGAAAUAGAUGAGAAUAAAUGCAGAGAAGACAAAAUUCUCGUAUUUGAGAGGGGUGAAAAAUAUACAAA